AACGAACGCUGGCGGCAUGCCUAACACAUGCAAGUCGAACGAGGCCUUCGGGUCUAGUGGCGCACGGGUGCGUAACGCGUGGGAAUCUGCCCUUAGGUUCGGAAUAACUUCGGGAAACUGAAGCUAAUACCGGAUGAUGACGUAAGUCCAAAGAUUUAUCGCCUAAGGAUGAGCCCGCGUAGGAUUAGCUAGUUGGUGAGGUAAAGGCUCACCAAGGCGACGAUCCUUAGCUGGUCUGAGAGGAUGAUCAGUCACACUGGAACUGAGACACGGCCCAGACUCCUACGGGAGGCAGCAGUGGGGAAUAUUGGACAAUGGGCGAAAGCCUGAUCCAGCAAUGCCGCGUGAGUGAUGAAGGCCUUAGGGUUGUAAAGCUCUUUUACCCGGGAUGAUAAUGACAGUACCGGGAGAAUAAGCUCCGGCUAACUCCGUGCCAGCAGCCGCGGUAAUGUGACUACUG
rnacentral:rRNA from 1 species